rnacentral:rRNA from 2 species
GGCAGACGGGUGAGUAACAUGUAGGUAUCUGCCCUUUGGCCUGGAAUAACACGAGGAAACUUGUGCUAAUACCGGAUAAGUCUUUACGGAGAAAGCUUUAUGCACCAUUGGAUGAGCCUGCACUUGAUUAGUUUGUUGGUGGGGUAAUGGCCUACCAAGACUGUGAUCAAUAGCUGAUUUGAGAGGAUGAUCAGCCACAUUGGGACUGAGACACGGCCCAAACUCCUACGGGAGGCAGCAGUGGGGAAUCUUGCACAAUGGAGGAAACUCUGAUGCAGCGAUGCCGCGUGAGUGAAGAAGGCCUUUGGGUUGUAAAGCUCUUUCGUCGGGGAAGAAAAUGACUGUACCCGAAUAAGAAGGUCCGGCUAACUUCGUGCCAGCAGCCGCGGUAAUACGAAGGGACCUAGCGUAGUUCGGAAUUACUGGGCUUAAAGAGUUCGUAGGUGGUUGAAAAAGUUGGUGGUGAAAUCCCAGAGCUUAACUCUGGAACUGCCAUCAAAACUUUUCAGCUAGAGUAUGAUAGAGGAAAGCAGAAUUUCUAGUGUAGAGGUGAAAUUCGUAGAUAUUAGAAAGAAUACCAAUUGCGAAGGCAGCUUUCUGGAUCAUUACUGACACUGAGGAACGAAAGCAUGGGUAGCGAAGAGGAUUAGAUACCCUCGUAGUCCAUGCCGUAAACGAUGUGUGUUAGACGUUGGAAAUUUAUUUUCAGUGUCGCAGCGAAAGCGAUAAACACACC